CCCUAAGUUACUAGGACUUUUUCAGAACUUAUCCAAAAAGAGGUGUUUCUGGUAUGCAUUUUACUGUUGAAUAUGAGAAUUAUAGGAACAGAAGAAGCUCUAACAUUUUGGAAUUAUUUCAGCCCCGAAUCUUUGACUACAAUGUUCAAAAGAUUUUACGUGAAUGUAGGUUUGGGUUUUUAUUUCCGAGAAAAUACAGGUAUGUCGGAAACAUUCACACCUAGGUGACUAAACCGCUUCACGAAGUUUUUGCAACUACUGGUCUUGUUCAAAGCUUUCAGCUUGUUAGAAAGGAAAAGGUAUAGUCUCUGUAGUCCUUUUUUUUUUUUGGCCAUAGAGGCUAAUAUUAAUGGGAUGCGAUAAUUAUGUUAGUUUUGGGCUGUGAAAAUUUUGAUUGUCUCCUUGUAUACUAGCAAUUAUUGUUCUUGGAAAAUGGAAAACUUGGACGUUAUUUUGAUGUACUUGAUUUGGUCAUUGAAGAUCUGAUUUUUAUACCUUAAAGAAGUGAUUCUUAUAUUUCAAGUGAUCCUAUUCUAUGGUUGAUUAAUUUCUCAUUCCUAUUGGAUUAAAAGAAUGAAGUUGUUAUAGUCUCUUAAUGUUUAAUGGAAUUGUUGCAUUUUGUUCUAUAUAGAUAUAAAGUGUCUUUUUUUUUCUUUUUUUUUUUUUUUAAGUCAUAUGAAAGGUUCAUGUAGGAGAACAAAAUAUGGGCUCGUGGAAGGAUGAAUCAAGCAAGAUUUGCCAUAAUUGGUCAUGUUGUUUAAAUGGUCAAUCGAGACUGAAGUUAUGGCUCGUGAUUAUUAUGCUUUAAAUUGUUUGUACCCUGAUGUACAUGUAUCUCCUGUCAUACCAGCUCUGAGGAACUUCUAUCAUAAUGCACUAAAUUCAACGUGAGUGAACUCAACUUGUAAACCAUCGUAGAUGGUUUGGGUGUUAUUUUAUACCAAUAUUCAUUUAAUGGUGAACAACUUGUUUCCCUCUAUUCAUCAACACCAUCAAUAUUAUUGCCUAUGUUAUGCUGUAUUUUCUUUUAAAAGCUAUAGCAGUCUUAUUCCUUUUAUGAUCCUAUCGUUCAAUGUAAAUCAGCUGCUCUUUUGUUUAGAGCCUGUGUGACAACCAUUAUUGUAGAAAAAAAGGAUUUUUGAAUAGUGAUUUUUAGGAGAAUGUGUGGUCAAAAAGUAGGGAAAAAAUUUUAUUAUACAAGGAGAAUAUUUUAUUGUGUGAAUGUGUGGUUGAAAAUGGUUAUGUAGCAAACCAUAAAAUAAAUUAAUGUGUGUCAAAUGGGCUCUUAAUAUUAUUUAUCUGCUAUCUAUUGAGCAACCUUCUAUAAUAGUAAAAGUUUUCGGGGUAAGGUAUUAUACGCAUUAGAUGAAUUGCGUGCUUAUAAACAUAAAAUGUGCAUCAAAGUUUCAAUGUCAUUUUAACUACGCCUAAUUUUUUUUUGGAAUACUUACUACUUCAAUCCAUAGUGAUGA
rnacentral:lncRNA from 1 species